rnacentral:rRNA from 1 species
CACGUAGGGGGCGAGCGUUGUCCGGAUUUAUUGGGCGUAAAGAGCUCGUAGGCGGAUGUGUCAGUCAGGGGUGAAAUCCCGGGGCUCAACCUCGGAACUGCCUUUGAUACAGCACGUCUCGAGUCCGGAAGAGGUGGGUGGAAUUCCUAGUGUAGAGGUGAAAUUCGUAGAUAUUAGGAAGAACACCAAUUGCGAAGGCAGCUUACUUCACGAUCAUUGACACUGAGGCACGAAAGCGUGGGGAGCAAACAGG